GCCUCUAAUUAGGUGGGAGACACUCAAGAGCAUCUCAGAAAUUUCCAGUGUCUGGACCGGGAUUCGAACCCUUGACCUCUGGAUUGACAGUUGAGCGUGUUACCACUAGACCACUGGCCCAUCUAACUUUUCUGGAUUUACUUGAAAUUUAAAAACAAGUGUCUCUUCUUUUGUAGUGAAACCUGUGAAGAAGAGUUAGUGAAGCAGAAUAGUUACAGAUCAUAAGAAAUGCAGGUCUUUGUUCAGCAUGGUGUAUAUGGAAAACAUAGUGGAUGGCCAGCCUAGAAAAUAUUUAAUGAAGAAAUAUAUAAGGCAGAGCUAUCAGCAGUAUUCCAGACACAGCAAGAAGUACACUUUGUUUUGCACAGAUUUGUGUUCCACAAGUAUGGCCAUGAAUGGAUUUUCAUAGAAAAAAGUAAGAAAAUGUGAUGCUGCAUGAAUGCAAAGAGAGAAAAAAGCUACAUACCUAGAAGUUCAGUCAAUCAGACCUGUAGGUCUUUGCAGGUAUAAGGAGUUGCCUAGCAGAUUAAAAGCAUAAUAUUAAGCUCUCACCCAGGUGUUCCUCUUACACAAGCAUGAAGAAAAGGGAGUUGCUGGAGGUAUUGCUAUGUUCUUGUUGCCCAGCUAGACAAAUUACAAGUAUGCCAAGUAGUUAUGAAUGACGCCAUGGUUACAGAGUUCCGUCAGCAGCAAGCACAUACACGAUAUUUCUGUCAGGCACAUACCAGGACAGGACCCUUCAACACAUAUAAUGUUUGGAUACUAUUGCAACAACUCUUAGACUGAUGGAUCCAUUAUUAACAAUACCACACUAUCAUAAAAUGACACCUCUUUAGAUGCAGGUGCUCAUAGAUUUGUAUGACCCUAACUGGAGUGCACAGUCAGACAAAAUAACACCAGUUGCUGAGAACCAAGUUUCCCAGAAACAGAUAAUUUAAACGUAAUCUGACUUACAGUUAAUGAUGGAGUAUUUCUCACAUGAUGUCAUUACAUGUAAAUGUUAAUUUUAUAAUGUAUAAAUGGAAUGACCAGCAAUAAGAAGCCAGUUUUGUGUUUUUAACUGGUUAAUGUUUGUGACAUUUUUUCAAGCACUUACACAACAACUUGAUGUUAAUCGAUUUUUUCUGUACUCUUGGUCAUAAAGUAUCAACUCAAAUUAUAUUGAUUAUUGAGUUUUAAUGUUAAACUCCAUGAUGUCUCCUUAGAAAAAAUAUCAAGCAUUUUAAUGUUUCUCCCAUUUCCAGUAAUGUUUUAUGUUUUCACAUAUAUAUCAAGUAUAUUACAACAUUUUCAGGCCCAUUGAAACCAGAGAUUACAUUUAUUGGAGAUAAUUUGACGAAGACAGUUGUAGAGUUGUUACAUGA